ACGUGAGUUACUGUUCUUAAUCUGAUGGCUCACCAUCACUGGAGCUUAGAAUGAUGCUCCUGAGAUGAAGUAAGACUCUCAAAGGAGCUCAGAGUCAUCAAAGACAAAUGAAGUGACCCCUGUGGAAAAAGGGGCCCAACUUACUUGCUGCCACCAACACCAACUACCGACCAACUACCACUGAUGCCCAAGGAGUGUCAGCAUCUUCCCCAGCCCUCACCAAGACCUCCAGUCCUGCUUCCCGCCCAGUGCCCUCAGUCAUCCUCUUGGGAAGCAAUUCCCAUAAAGAUGUGAACUGGCAACUGGCUUGUGAGUGCUGAAUUCACAGGGGUCAGAGAUCCCCAAAAGCAAGAGUCCUUGUUGCUGUCAAUUGGUGCAACAUCAGAAGCUGAUGUGACUUCAUCGGAAAUGACGACAAAGAGAAGGCCAGACCCUUUGCUUUGCUGAUGCACCCCAAGGACCACGGGGGGCUUCUAACUGGCGUUGAAACAUCACUGAGUGUCUCCCCCAUGGGAACACAAGCUACUUGCAGGCAAGAGCUGCUAUGCACCGAGCACAGCACUUGGCCCAAAAGAAGAGCUCGAUAAAUGCUUUUGCAUCCAUC